AUUGAACGCUGGCGGCAGGCCUAACACAUGCAAGUCGAACGGCAGCGGGGGGUAGCUUGCUACCCCGCCGGCGAGUGGCGGACGGGUGAGUAAUGCCUGGGGAGCUGCCCAAUCGAGGGGGAUACCAGUUGGAAACGACUGCUAAUACCGCAUACGCCCUGAGGGGGAAAGGUGGGGAUCUUCGGACCUACCGCGAUUGGAUGCACCCAGGUGGGAUUAGCUAGUUGGUGAGGUAACGGCUCACCAAGGCGACGAUCUCUAGCUGGUCUGAGAGGAUGACCAGCCACACUGGAACUGAGACACGGUCCAGACUCCUACGGGAGGCAGCAGUGGGGAAUAUUGCACAAUGGGGGAAACCCUGAUGCAGCCAUGCCGCGUGUGUGAAGAAGGCCUUCGGGUUGUAAAGCACUUUCAGCGAGGAGGAAAGGUUGGCAGCUAAUACCUGUCAGCUGUGACGUUACUCGCAGAAGAAGCACCGGCUAACUCCGUGCCAGCCGCCGCAGUAAAAC
rnacentral:rRNA from 1 species